AGUGAACGCUGGCGGUAGGCCUAACACAUGCAAGUCGAACGGCAGCACAGUAAGAGCUUGCUCUUACGGGUGGCGAGUGGCGGACGGGUGAGGAAUACAUCGGAAUCUACUUUUUCGUGGGGGAUAACGUAGGGAAACUUACGCUAAUACCGCAUACGACCUACGGGUGAAAGCAGGGGAUCUUCGGACCUUGCGCGAUUGAAUGAGCCGAUGUCGGAUUAGCUAGUUGGCGGGGUAAAGGCCCACCAAGGCGACGAUCCGUAGCUGGUCUGAGAGGAUGAACAGCCAAAAUGGAACUUAAAAAACGUGCAGACGACUAAGGGAGGCAACAGUGGGGAAAAUUGGACAAUGGGCGCAAACCUGAUCAAGCCAUACCGCGUGGGUGAAGAAGGCCUUCGGGUUGUAAAGCCCUUUUGUUGGGAAAGAAAAGCAGCAGGUUAAUACCCCGCUGUUCUGACGGUACCCAAAGAAUAAGCACCGGCUAACUUCGUG
rnacentral:rRNA from 1 species